CACCAAAACUCUUUGUCAGGGCGUUUUCUAUUCCACCGAGAAUACAAUUCAUCAACGAAAAGGUCUGUUACAGUUUUGGAAGAUUAAUACCACUCGCCUUCUACUUUUCUCCCGUUCUGGGAGAACUUGGGUAGAAACAGGUGGGUAACCACCGUUUUGGUGGUAUGCCACCGCUUUUAGAGUGAGGAGGAUCUUCAGAGUUAAGCUUUGGAUGGGUACACCCCUUCAAGAUAAUUCCAUUGCUUGUAGUAAUGAACCUCACAUUA
rnacentral:snoRNA from 1 species